CGCCAAGAGCGCACAGACUUUGAAGCAGGAAAAGACAGUCUCUAGAGCAACAUGGAAAGGAUCCAGUAUUUGUUUUCAGGCAAAAGCAAGCCUCCAAAAGCCCCUUGGUUCUUCUCUGUGUGUCUCGCCCCUUCUGCCUUGUACACCAGACUGCCGGCAAGCAAGCGGGGAGGUGGCGAACAGCUGGGAUCCUCCAGUGAAAAGUUUGCUCAGCGCGAGAGAUGUCAAGAGGCUGGGAUUGUCGCCUAUCGGGAGAAGAAUUCCACAGAUGAAUUGGUUCUGCCCUGUAUCUUUGAAUGGUUUUUAUUUUCUGAUGUCCAGUGUGGCAGCCUGGCAGAGACAUUUAGUUGAAAGAACACGGGGCUCUGGAAACAACCAGUCCUCCUUGGUUCAUAUUCUCGUGUUGUCACUUAUUAACCGAGUGACAUUGGGUAAGUUCUUUUGUCCCUUUGAGCUAGUGUCUUCAUUCCAAUAACUAUUCCUACCAUCUGAGUUUGCUAAUGGGUCUCAGGGAGAGGUAAGACAUAUAUCACUUGGUACCUCAUUUCAUUUCUCUGAUAGCAGAAAGUGGGAAGGUCAUGACCAGUCAAGGGGCCUCUGAGUCAAUCACGAUUUUUCCUUCUGCAGAGUGUAAUACCUUCUUUUCUUCCUGCCACAGAAAAAAACCACACUUGCUGAGCCAAAGAAGACCUUUCUGUUUUUUGAAUAGCUUUGACUAGGUACAUUUCUUGAAAAGGAUUCUUCUUUGGCAGGAGAAGCCCAGAUUUGAGGUCCCAUGGUCCAGGAGGCAUCUCAUAUACCUCUCUUGGUAUGCCUACUGUCCCAUUUUAUUGACAUCUCUCAGCAGAGUGGGAGAUAAGAGGAGAUGAUGCUGGAAUUCUUUCUGAGUAUCAGUCUAGCAUUGGCGGAGGGUCGAAAAACUGUAAUAAAACUCUCUAAGGAUUUGUCUAAUUCAAUAACUUAGAUCUGAGCCAACUAUCAUCUCCUUGGAGAAGACUUCCCUGACCGUAUGAUCAAAAUUACUUCCCCCAGUCACCCUCUAGUCAUCAGUGUUCUUUUAUCCUCAUCCCAGCACUCACCACUCUCUGAAAUUACUUGCUUAUUUAUAUGUGUACUUGUUUAUGUUUCUUGUUUGUUCCCUCCACUGAAACAAACUCUAUGACAGCUCUUAUUUUCUUUUCUAAGCCUCAUUGCUUAGAACAGUGUAUGACAAAAGUAGGCCCCCAAUAAAUAUUGUUACAUAAAUAAUUAGACUAUAGAUCUCACUAAUGUUGGAAAUGACCCCAGCAUCUAUAAAGGAAUAAAUAUAGCAAAAGAUAUAGUUCUGGCUGGGCUCAGCUAAUCUCACCUGGUUCAUCUACCUGGCUGGGCAUGUAUGGCAGGGCAGAGUUUCUUUUUUAGAUUCGAACUGCAUCCUAGUUGAACACACUGAUAUAUCCAUAAUGAAGUGACUACUCAAGAAGAAUCAGGCAGCGAUUGCAGUUUUAUUUAUUUCAUGGAGUAAUAAUCACCACAGUUGAUCAUGCCUCCUCCUUUUUGAAAACAGUUUCUUACCUGUGUUCUCUCUUGAGUUUAUCAGCAGUUGCACCCCACUUCAGUGUCCACCAUUGGCUCCUGUCAUCUCCCCAACCUUGACUCUCUUCUCAUCUCUGUCAUCGUUCAUUCUCUAGGUGACUGUUUUAGUCACAUGGCCUUGUUAGGAGUCAGAAGCAGAUACCCCCAAAUGUGGUGCUUUUAAACGCUGAACUGAAGAAGCCUCGAGGUCUCUCUGGCAUCUCCCUACUCCUGACAUCUCUCCUCAAACCUUUAUCUGCCUAAGAUCUAGACAUGCCAAAAGGAACAAUUGUUUCUUCUUCCCCUCUCUGUAAGUCCAAGAGUGUAAUCACACCUGAACAGAACCUUUUCCAAGGAAAUGUACAAGUUCAUCUCUGUUCCCUGAGCCACUCAUUCUCCCUAGUAAUCCCCUCAACAGAAUCGCUCUUCCCUCCCCUCCCAUAACCUGCUCCACCAGGAAGGUGUGUAAGCUUCUGAAUGCUCUUGAGGGGUGGGCAGUCUCUCGGUGGUUCUCCCCAUGUAUAUACAUUAAAUAAAUUUGUUUGCCUUUUCUCCAAUUAACCAGUCUUUUGUGAGUUGAUUUUUCAGUGAACCUUCAGAGCGUGAAGGAGAGGUUUCCCUUUGGUCCCUAUAGCCUCAGAUACCUUCCCAUUCUGACAACCAUGACAUUAUAUUUUCAGCCUAGACACAUAUUUCCAGGAUGUGUGAUAUACCCAUUUGGAUGUUGAGGUUGAUUGUAUGAUGUCUACAGCCUUUGCUGUGUG
rnacentral:lncRNA from 1 species